rnacentral:rRNA from 1 species
CCAACAGGGAUUGCCUCAGUAACGGCGAGUGAAGCGGCAAAAGCUCAAAUUUGAAAUCUGGCAUCUUUGGUGUCCGAGUUGUACUUUGGAGAGGCAUCUUCUGGAGGGGCCCAGCCUAUGUGCCUUGGAACAGGACGUCAUAGAGGGUGAGAAUCCCGUCCUUGGCUGGAUGUUCCCUCCUGUAUGUAGUGUCUUCUACGAGUCGAGUUGUUUGGGAAUGCAGCUCAAAAUGGGUGGUAAAUUUCAUCUAAAGCUAAAUAUUGGCGAGAGACCGAUAGCGCACAAGUAGAGUGAUCGAAAGAUGAAAAGCACUUUGAAAAUAGAGUCAAACAGUACGUGAAAUUGUUGAAAGGGAAGCGCUUGAGACCAGAGUCAGCCUUUGGCAAACAACUGUCCAUUUAGGGGCGGUGCACUUGUUAUUGGUUGGGCCAGCAUCGGUUGGGACGGCAGGAUAAAGGCCCGGGGAAUGUGACUCCUUCAAGGAGUGUUAUAGUCCUGGGCGGCAU